GUUGGGCAAAGAGGCCCAUGGUCGUUUCCAUGUAAUUAUCCCUGUAACAACUCAGGAGCUGAUUAUUUUCUGAGCAUCCUUUCCACAUUCUUUAGGGUGGGUGCUCACUGGGUAUACCUGAUUGCCUGGUGGGGAAGAGAUCAAGUUAUUGUGUUUUGCUGUCUAUAGCAUCAAUGGUACUCCACCAGAAGAGUGACUUGUUUCCAAGGUUGAGGUUUCACCAGUAGCACCUACAAGGCCUAUGUGUGCUGCAGAGACCUCUUUCGGAGUUGAGUGAGCACCAGGAUUCCUGCUCCCUUCUCUUGUACUCUAUUCUCCACUCAGGAAUUUUCUGGGAGUGGGGAGAAAUAAAGUUUUGAUAAUCAUGUGGAUGCUAAUAUAGUAUAUAAAAAGAGACUGGUAUAUGUGGUAGUCUAGAUUUGUGUCCCUUUCUCUCAUUAGGUGCAUCCUCAGUAGUAGCUCUAGUAUGCAUAAGUGACAGAUUUUACCUGUAUUGGUAGGGUACUGAGAAGUGGAGGGCCAGAGGAAGAAGUAAGGAAG
rnacentral:lncRNA from 1 species